rnacentral:snRNA from 1 species
GGAUCUGUCUCAACUGGUUGU